CCCAAACUCUUGGCCUUGGCACUAAUAUAGCACUAUCUAAAGCUUUGCAGCAAGAAUGGGACUGAGCACUGCAUGAAGAGAGCAGAGAAGAAGCAAAAAGUAAAUUACAGGGGCAACAAAACCAGCAAUAAGAGCAACGGUGACUUGAUCACAGAACUUGGGUACUUGUCCACAAAUAGGUAGCCAACCGGCAUGACUGUUCCCUUUCUUUCCCACUUGAGCUAUUGCCAGGGCUGCAGAAAUGCUUGAGCUGAGCAGCACUGUUAUUACCAUAUCAAGAAUGACAAUUAAGCCCCCAAGGAGGCUCUUAG
rnacentral:misc_RNA from 1 species